CUAGUAAUGGCAGGUCAGCAUACUGCCGUGAAUACGUUCCCGGGCCUUGUACACACCGCCCGUCACACCAUGAGAGUUGGGAAUACCCGAAGCCUGUGAGCUAACUAUAUGAGGCAGCAGUCGAAGGUAGAAUCAAUGAUUGGGGUGAAGUCGUAACAAGGUACC
rnacentral:rRNA from 1 species